AGAGUUGUAUCCUGGCUCAGAAUUAACGCUAGCGAUACACCUAACACAUGCAAGUUGAACGUAUAUACAUAUUUGUAUAUAAGUAGCGAACGGGUGCGUAACACGUGAGAAUCUGCCUAUAGUUUGUGGUGAAAUACUGCAGAAUCUUCUUUUUCUAGAGAUUCAGAUAUAUAUCGAUUAUAGAUGAGCUUGCGGGGUAUUAGGUUGUUGGUGUGGUAACGGCGCACCAAGCCCAAGAUGCCUAGCCGGUUUGAGAGAACGAUCGGCCACACUGGGACUGAGACACGGCCCAGACGCUUACGAGCGGCAGCAGUGGGGAAUAUUGGACAAUGGGCGCAAGCCUGAUCCAGUGAUAUCGCUUUAGAGAUGAAGGCGACAUACGCUGUAAACCUAAUGAAUUAUAUAUAGAUUAUGACCGUGUAUAAUUUAGAAGUCCCGGCUAAUCUCGUGCCAGCAGCCGCGGUAAUACGAGAGGGGCGAGCGUUAUUCAAAAUGAUUGGGCGUAAAGCGCACGUAGGUGGUAAUAUGUAUCAGUAAAUAUUCAGGCCAUAAGUCUUGACGAUAUUUAUUAUAUACAUAUUGCUUGAGGGUGUAAGAGGAGCAUGGAAUUCCCUAGGAAGCGGUAGAAUGUGUUGAUCUAGGGAGGAACACCUAUAGCGAAAGCAGUGCUCUAGUACAUUCCUGACAUUG
rnacentral:rRNA from 1 species